ACUACUGCACCGAUACCAGAUCUAAAUGAGAAACUUAUUGUGUUUGGGCAAGUCAUCAAGGGAGAGGAUGUUGUUCAGGAAAUUGAAGAAGUGGAUACAGAUGAACAUUACAAACCUAAAAUAUCUAUUGGGAUACUGGAUGUGACUCUUAAACAGAAGGUCUGAAGGCUCUUUGCUAGAUCAAGAUCUUGAUGAGCUGUGAUAUUUUGCAGAUAACCUGUUUUGGUACACUGGUCAUACCUUUUGUACAGGGAUGAACCUUGAGAGUUUCACCUAGCGUGCAUCUAUCAAGUGUCCGAGGCAUCAUGUUGUUUUUGCUAUUGAAUUUUUAGUUAACACCAGGAUUAUGCAAUCUCCUUUUCUUAACUUCUGUCUUUUGACUUUUUCUUUGAAAAAAUUGGGGGGGUUAGAUUUAUAGGCAGGGGUUUUCAUUUUGCUUGUAAGGUUUGGUAAUAUCACAUUUUUCAUUUUCAUUUUGGCAUUACUCUUCAUUUGUAACCUCAGAGAGAUCACAUGAUCACUUCCCUAUGCUGUUCACAUUUCAUGUGUGUUGUGUUUCCAUUGAUUGAUAUGGCCAAUUUGUUGGUCACUCAGAAUGGUAAGCUUUGUAAGUCACAUUUCAAUUUGGUUAUAAAAGCCAUACUUGUUUAAUUACAUUAA